CCCUAGCCCCGGUAGCAGUGAAAAGCGGGUAGCAACGAAUAACGGGAUUAGCU
rnacentral:sRNA from 1 species